rnacentral:rRNA from 1 species
GAUGAACGCUGGCGGCGUGCCUAAUACAUGCAAGUCGAGCGAACAGACGAGGAGCUUGCUCCUCUGACGUUAGCGGCGGACGGGUGAGUAACACGUGGAUAACCUACCUAUAAGACUGGGAUAACUUCGGGAAACCGGAGCUAAUACCGGAUAAUAUAUUGAACCGCAUGGUUCAAUAGUGAAAGACGGUUUUGCUGUCACUUAUAGAUGGAUCCGCGCCGCAUUAGCUAGUUGGUAAGGUAACGGCUUACCAAGGCAACGAUGCGUAGCCGACCUGAGAGGGUGAUCGGCCACACUGGAACUGAGACACGGUCCAGACUCCUACGGGAGGCAGCAGUAGGGAAUCUUCCGCAAUGGGCGAAAGCUUGACGGAGCAACGCCGCGUGAGUGAUGAAGGUCUUCGGAUCGUAAAACUCUGUUAUUAGGGAACAACAAAUGUGUAAGUAACUAUGCACGUCUUGACGGUACCUAAUCAGAAAGCCACGGCUAACUACGUG